UAGAAAUCCGUGGAACUUGAGAAGACCAGGAAAAGAUUCCCCCUCCCCCUCCCCCACCCCCAUAACAGAGCUCCGCCCAUGUGGAGGUGGCAUCCCAGCAAGUGUGGUAUGUUUGACUCAGUCAUCAGACCCGUCUGCGUAUACUGCCAGAAUUGUACAUUGUAUUUUUAAAGACUUCAAAGAUGCUGGCUCAGAAGAACAACUAGCAUCCUGGCGAUUCCCGUGGAAAUGCCCGUCUUUUCCGUGUCCGUUGUCUGAUUGAUCUCCACCAGGGUGGCGUGCCCAGACUUCCGUCCGGCUGCCACAGCCACCCCACAUUCCACGGUCCAGCCCAGCAAAGACGACUGACUGGCGCUCUUGAAAUAUAAACAAGUAUCUUCCUUAAUUGCUCCAGAGACUACAAUUGAGUUCAACAUAGCCCUCCCCGUUAUACAAAAUGUUGUUUAUUUUCUGAAGCCAAUAUUUAAACAUCGAAACUGUGAGUAUGGCGUGAAAAGUAAAGAGUUAAUAAAAAAUAGUCAUGUGGUUA